CGGGUGAGUAACGCGUGGAUAACCUGCCUCACACUGGGGAUAACAGUUAGAAAUGACUGCUAAUACCGCAUAAGCGCACAGUACCGCAUGGUACAGUGUGAAAAACUCCGGUGGUGUGAGAUGGAUCCGCGUCUGAUUAGCCAGUUGGCGGGUAACGGCCCACCAAAGCGACGAUCAGUAGCCGACCUGAGAGGGUGACCGGCCACAUUGGGACUGAGACACGGCCCAA
rnacentral:rRNA from 1 species